rnacentral:rRNA from 1 species
CUGCAAGUCGAGCGGGGAAAAGUAGCUUGCUACUUGACCUAGCGGCGGACGGGUGAGUAAUGCUUAGGAAUCUGCCUAUUAGUGGGGGACAACAUCUCGAAAGGGAUGCUAAUACCGCAUACGUCCUACGGGAGAAAGCAGGGGACCUUCGGGCCUUGCGCUAAUAGAUGAGCCUAAGUCGGAUUAGCUAGUUGGUGGGGUAAAGGCCUACCAAGGCGACGAUCUGUAGCGGGUCUGAGAGGAUGAUCCGCCACACUGGGACUGAGACACGGCCCAGACUCCUACGGGAGGCAGCAGUGGGGAAUAUUGGACAAUGGGGGGAACCCUGAUCCAGCCAUGCCGCGUGUGUGAAGAAGGCCUUUUGGUUGUAAAGCACUUUAAGCGAGGAGGAGGCUACCGAGAUUAAUACUCUUGGAUAGUGGACGUUACUCGCAGAAUAAGCACCGGCUAACUCUGUGCCAGCAGCCGCGGUAAUACAGAGGGUGCAAGCGUUAAUCGGAUUUACUGGGCGUAAAGCGCGCGUAGGUGGCCAAUUAAGUCAAAUGUGAAAUCCCCGAGCUUAACUUGGGAAUUGCAUUCGAUACUGGUUGGCUAGAGUAUGGGAGAGGAUGGUAGAAUUCCAGGUGUAGCGGUGAAAUGCGUAGAGAUCUGGAGGAAUACCGAUGGCGAAGGCAGCCAUCUGGCCUAAUACUGACACUGAGGUGCGAAAGCAUGGGGAGCAAACAGGAUUAGAUACCCUGGUAGUCCAUGCCGUAAACGAUGUCUACUAGCCGUUGGGGCCUUUGAGGCUUUAUUGGCGCACCUACGCGAUAAUAAACCGCUA